GCAGUGUUUACUCCUGAAGGGAACAUUUUCUUUCUUUCUUUCUUUUUUUCAUUCUGACAAACUGAUCAUCAAAUGUUUUUUUGUUUGUUCAUGUGUAAAUUUACAUGUAUGUAAUGUGAAACCAAGGACAUUUUAAGAUCUUGUCUAGUAGCCGAACAUUUUUAUCAAAGUCUUCAGCUGUGGAGCACAAAGGCACUUCCUUAUUAAUAGUCAGUGGUGGAGAUCAGAGUGUUGAAAUCCAUCAUGGAUGAAACAUCUGGAGAUGAAGAUGUUUUCCCAAGAUACAGGCACUCUGAUUCAGUUCAUCAGAAGAGAUCAGAAGCAGAGCCCAGCUGUGUGUCUGUGAAGAGUGACAGGUCUAUGAAAGAGCCAAUAACAUUUAACAGUGG